rnacentral:lncRNA from 1 species
GUCCUGAAUAUGCAUGAACAUUUUACCACUGAACGUAAAGCAACCAACAACCAAUCGAUCACGUAAAUGAAAACUUCCAGAACAUACAAUUAUUAUAGAUUUGAAAUAGCAUAGAAAGUUCAAAAGAAAAACAAAAUUGUAAAAAUUUAUCUUCGACCAUAGACAAAACACGAAAUGUAAAAUGGUUCAGCAACCCAACAUUGCUGAUCUC